AGUGAACGCUGGCGGUAGGCCUAACACAUGCCAGUCGAACGGCAGCACAGUAAUAGCUUGCUCUUACGGGUGGCGAGUGGCGGACGGGUGAUGAAUACAUCGGAAUCUACUGUUUCUUGGGUGAGAACGUAGGGAAACUUACGCUAAUACCGCAUACGACCUACGGGUGAAAGCAUGGGAUCUUCGGACCUUGCGCGAUUGAAUGAGCCGAUGUCGGAUUAGCUAGUUGGCGGGGUAAAGGCCCACCAAGGCGACGAUCCGUAGCUGGUCUGAGAGGAUGAUCAGCCACACUGGAACUGAGACACGGUCCAGACUCCUACGGGAGGCAGCAGUGGGGAAUAUUGGACAAUGGGCGCAAGCCUGAUCCAGCCAUACCGCGUGGGUGAAGAAGGCCUUCGGGUUGUAAAGCCCUUUUGUUGGGAAAGAAAAGCAGCAGGUUAAUACCCCGCUGUUCUGACGGUACCCAAAGAAUAAGCACCGGCUAACUUCGUG
rnacentral:rRNA from 1 species